GAUGAACGCUGGCGGCGUGCCUAAUACAUGCAAGUCGAGCGAACGGACGAUAAGCUUGCUUCUCUGAUGUUAGCGGCGGACGGUUGAGUAACACGUGGAUAACCUACCUAUAAGACUGGGAUAACUUCGGGAAACCGGAGCUAAUACCGGCUAAUAUUUUGUACCGCAUUGUUCAAAAGUGAAAGACGGUCUUGCUGUCACUUAUAGAUGGAUCCGCGCUGCAUUAGCUAGUUGGUAAGGUAACGGCUUACAAAGGCAACGAUGCAUAGCCGACCUGAGAGGGGGAUCGCCCACACGGGAACUGGGCAACGGUCCAGACUCCUACGGGAGGAAGCAGAAGGGAAUCUUGCGCAAUGGGCGAAAGCCUGACGGAGCAACGCCGCGUGAGUGAUGAGGGUCUUCGGAUCGUAAAACUCUGUUAUUAGGGAAAAACAUAUGUGUAAGUAACUGUGCACAUCUUGACGGUACCUAAUCAGAAAGCCACGGCUAACUACGUG
rnacentral:rRNA from 1 species